ACUCCUACGGGAGGCUGCAGUGGGGAAUUUUCCGCAAUGGGCGCAAGCCUGACGGAGCAAGACCGCGUGAGGGAGGAAGGCUCUUGGGUUGUAAACCUCUUUUAUCAGGGAAGAAGAUCUGACGGUACCUGAUGAAUCAGCAUCGGCUAACUCCGUGCCAGCAGCCGCGGUAAUACGGAGGAUGCAAGCGUUAUCCGGAUUUAUUGGGCGUAAAGCGUCCGCAGGUGGUUUUUCAAGUCUGCUGUUAAAGCGCAGAGCUUAACUCUGUAACGGCGGUGGAAACUGAGAGACUAGAGUAUGGUAGGGGUUGCGGGAAUUCCCAGUGUAGCGGUGAAAUGCGUAGAUAUUGGGAAGAACACCAGCGGCGAAAGCGCGCAACUGGGCCAUUACUGACACUCAUGGACGAAAGCUAGGGGAGCGAAAGGGAUUAGAUACCCCUGUAGUCCUAGCUGUAAACGAUGGGUACUAGGUGUUGACCGUAUCGACCCGGUCAGUGCUGUAGCUAACGCGUUAAGUACCCCGCCUGGGGAGUAUGCACGCAAGUGUGAAACUCAAAGGAAUUGACGGGGGCCCGCACAAGCGGUGGAGUAUGUGGUUUAAUUCGAUGCAACGCGAAGAACCUUACCAGGGCUUGACAUGUCGCGAAUCUCGGUGAAAGUCGAGAGUGCCUUCGGGAGCGCGAACACAGGUGGUGCAUGGCUGUCGUCAGCUCGUGUCGUGAGAUGUUGGGUUAAGUCCCGCAACGAGCGCAACCCUCGUUUUUAGUUGCCAGCAUUUAGUUGGGCACUCUAGAGAGACUGCCGGUGACAAACCGGAGGAAGGUGGGGAUGACGUCAAGUCAGCAUGCCCCUUACGUCCUGGGCUACACACGUACUACAAUGCUUCGGACAAAGGGUUGCGAGCUAGCGAUAGCAAGCUAAUCCCGUAAACCGAGGCUCAGUUCAGAUUGCAGGCUGCAACUCGCCUGCAUGAAGGAGGAAUCGCUAGUAAUCCCAGGUCAGCAUACUGGGGUGAAUACGUUCCCGGGCCUUGUACACACCGCCCGU
rnacentral:rRNA from 1 species